rnacentral:rRNA from 1 species
UACAGAGGGGGCAAGCGUUAUUCGGAAUUAUUGGGCGUAAAGGGCGCGUAGGCGGCUUUUCAAGUGACGGGUGAAUCCCUCGGCUUAACCGAGGAACUGCCUGUCAGACUGGAAGGCUUGAGACCGGGAGAGGUGAGUGGAAUUCCCAGUGUAGCGGUGAAAUGCGUAGAUAUUGGGAGGAACACCAGUGGCGAAGGCGGCUCACUGGACCGGAACUGACGCUGAGGCGCGAAAGCGUGGGGAGCAAACAGG